UCUGGCGUCAAUUCUGCAGCAUAAGCCAUAGAAGCUGAGCCCCCCACCCCUAGCCAGUACGGUCUGCGAACCUCACCUGCCCCACUCUUGAGGGUCAGGACAUAGCAUCUGUAGCCUCUCCAGAUUCUAAGUGCAGAGAACCUGGGUCAGUGUGCUACACUGGUUACUGUGCCCACAUCACUGCAGGUACAGGUGGGCAGGGGUACUGCCAGUUUCUUUGUGAAGAUGGCGUCUGGUCUGUGCACACUUUGGGCUCCGAGGGCAUGGCAGCUGGGGAGGCGCAUUGGCCUGUGUUUGUGUGUCAGUGUGUCUGUGGGUCAAGCCAGGCUAAACUGAGAGACCAACUGAUGCUUCCUGUGAAGACAAGUUGAGGUAGGGCCAUGCAGUCCAUACCAGCUGCAUCUGGUGGGGAGUUGGGCACCAAACAGAUUUGAGAUAGAGUCGGGGGUCCCAGGUCCACUCUCCCCCCACUCCCAUCCCCAUUUCAGGACCCUUCUAUAGGUGGCAGCCUGGUGGGCUUGGAGUUCUCAAAGCUGCAGGAACCUCAGACCAUGAACCCAGGAACUUUGGAAGCCAAGGCUGAAGCCUCAGCGCAGCUCCCAGUGCCUUCUGUCCACAUAUCCAAUGCCAGCAAAGAGACACUAAGCCUCUAUGGAGCAAGUAGUAUCCCCAAACAUGAUGUGCCACCUUCUAAACUUGCCUCUUGGACUCUCUAAGAGAUUAUCUGGAUCCUGACUGCCUCUCGCUGAAGCCAAAACUGUAACUCCACUUGGCUGGCCGUGCUGCUUCCUGGCCAUGCCAAGCCUCCCUACCUUCUGCUGGAGAGGCUUUUCUCUAAGUCUCUGAGGUCAGAUUCUCCUAGUUGCCCCUAUUCCUCAAGGCUCACCUGCACAGGUGGCAUAAUCAGAGACUUGGACAGAGCCAACAGGCAGCAGUUUCGGCAAAGCAGCUUGAGCCUUCUGAGCUCCCGUGUGGAGUUUCCCUUCAGAGUCUGGCUUGGAGCCCUGGAAGGAAGCCCUGGUUCACCUUAAGGCAGCUACAGCAGUAGCAGCAACAGUGGAGACUGGAGCUAGGACCUGACCAGCAGCCAGUCUUCUCCAUCCACUCCGUCACCCCUGCUGCCCUCUGAAGCUUUCUUUUUGGGGAGGCUACCCUGAGAAAAAGGAAGGAGGUAGGCAGAGCCAGAGCAGAGCGAUGGCAAGGAGGACUUCAACGACACGGAGCUUGAUGCUGGUAUGGACAUGCUGCCUAAUGUGUUGUUAGCCUGACUCCAGUGUCUCCUAUAGUCUCCAUGCCACUCGCCUUCUUCAUGUGGAGCCCCCAGCUCUUCCCAGUCUAUUACAGCCCUUAGCUUUGUCUCCACCUCCCAAGCUGUCCACCUCCCAAGCUGUCCAGCUGUCCAGCUGUUCCACAGGCAUGCCACAGUGACCAUGCCUACCAGCCAAGUGAGGCCAGAGAAAUUGGGCUCAAGUCUCAGAGCACUCUGGAGAGAAACAGUACAGGGGUUGUGGCUCAUUCCAUAGCUGUCUGGCCACCUGCGGACAGGCCAGGACCUACAUACCAGCCCUGUCCUUGGGGCCAACCUGACGUAUGUGUAGUUGGAGGGGCUGGGCGUGUACUAGGUGGUAAAGGUCUCAGCUGACGAUUCUCCAUACCCACCACGUGUCUCCUCCAGGAAGCCCCGGGUUGAUGCCAGAAGGUACCGGAAAGUGUAUGGCAUGGGACUCGUGGUGCUCAGCUUGUGGCUGGAAGAAAGCCUGCUAGCAGUUCCUGGACUGAGCCAAUCUGUGAUGCUACUGCCUGGCCUCUUUCUCACUCCUAGCCUGAACCUGCAGCAAACCUGUGGUGGGGUGACUCCUGGAGGGGAGAAAUGAUUGCAUACUCAAAGCGCCUUGAGACUGCUUGUUGUCCUUUGGCUGCAGGGGCAGUUUGCCUCCCUGUCUGUCACUUACCUACUUGUCGAAGAUGUUGAUGGACCCUGUAAAGCCUGUUUAAGAUGCACUUUGAGAGGUAUGGGGAGGAGUCUCGUGCCCACACGCAAGGUGGUGGUUGCAGGACCUUGAGACUGACGUUCACCAUGUAAUGAAGCUCAGGUGUCUUGUGCCUUGGCCAUAGGAGUUGAGGAGAAAAAUUAAAAAUUGUGGAGAUAGGGGCUAGGGAUUUAGCUCAGUGGUAGAGCGCUUACCUAGGAAGCGCAAGGCCCUGGGUUCGGUCCCCAGCUCCGAAAAAAAGAACCAAAAAAAAAAAAAAAAUUGUGGAGAUUGUUUGUUUGUUUAUUUUUCCAGAAACCAAGGUUACCUCCCCCGGGGAAAGAAAUGGAACUAGGAGGGAAGCAGAAAGUGAAUGAUAAUCAAAGAGCAGGCAGCUGUCUCCCUCCAUCCAGCAGCAGAUCCAAGGAAGGUACUAUAUUCAAACCACACAGGAGGCAUCUGCAUGGAGCAGCAAUUUCCCAUUUUAUUUAAAGUGACUGUUUUGCAAGAAUGUCUACACUAAAUCCCAUCACAGAAAGGAAACCCACAGGCAACCUGGAGCACACCUAGGCAGACAAAUGGCAAGAACCACUAGAGAAGGUAACCCUUACCUGUCUGUGGCUAUAGAGAGAGAGCAGGACAACAGAGCAGUGAACCCCACCAACUGAUUAUGACAAACCUCCCACAAAUAUUGAACACAUCUUCAGUACAAACACAGUUUAUAAUAAUUAAUAUAAAGUCAAUAUAAUAUAGAUUAUCCCCAGAAAAAAAAUCAGCAAUCUUCAAACACUGCCUUCUUUUUUCCUUUUUGUUGACAGAUUGAAAGCAUAAGAUUGAAAAAAAUAAAUAUUUAAGAAAAGCACACACAGCACCCUCACUACAAGUGAUUCUAAAAGAGCCACAUACAAAUCACAAUAGAGUCUGAAAAAUAACACCACCAUUAAGUAUGGCUUUCUUAGGAGUUGUACAUGUCAUAGAAUGAGCCAAAGUAAGAUUAUCUUUCAUAAUAUUGCAAAAAGUUCCAGUUUUGCAUUUUCUCGGGUUUUGUUUUGUUGCCUGUUUUUAAAGGAAGAUGUGCAAAAUUGGAAGCAUAGCUGUGUCUGAGUCAGGUCCCUGUCCUAGCAGUGUCCUGGUCCCCAAAACUCAGAGUCCAAAUACACAAACUGGUUGGGAUCCAAAGACCCAUGCCAAGGUCAUAUCACUUUCUCAUCUCAACUUCACAGCGCCCACAACAUGGGCUGUAUUUUCCACUUUGGUGUUACAAACACCAGAAUACAGACACACACACAUACAAAAAAAAAAUACAAAAUGUGAAAUGUAAUCUACACAUUUUUCUUCUUCAUAAAAAAAUAUUUAUUAGUUU
ensembl:lncRNA